GUCGGUUGUGCACAGUAGUGCGAAUUCGUCUGGUCAAAAGUACACUAGAGCAAGUCUCUCCAAGUGAAGUUUGCCAGAAUACAUUACUAUCGAAAUGUCGGCCGUCACGGUUUGUUCGCUUUUGUUUUUGUUCGUCGCCCACGUUUUGUCUUACCCUCAGCCCGGCGGUGGAGGUCACAACCAAUGGUCCAACCCUCAAAUGGGUAUGUCUGGAAACGGUUAUCAGCCCGGUGGUUUCGGUGGUGGUGGUGGUGCUAGUGGCAGACACCAACAACAGCAUCAAGGGUUCGGUAAUGGUCAACAUAUGCAAGGCAAUAAUGGUGGUGGUCAACGGGGUUUCGGCGGCAACGGGGAGGUGGCAACGGGCAAAACGGAUAUUCGCAAAACAGGGGAGGGCGGCAAGGGCAGUCUGGCGGUUCCGGACAAGGCGCCGAGGCCUACAAAACAAACGUUUACAACGAACCCGACCGAUACGGUUACGAUUACAACAUACCCGGAGCCAACGUGCACUUUAUGAUGCAUAAAAAACGAGGAAAUCAAGGUUCCGGGAACUAUGGUGGUAGUCAAGGUGGAAUGAACCACAAUAAUUAUUAAUUUACCAGCCGAUUAGUAAAAAUAUAAUACUAUAAGAUUCACUAUAAUUGCGCAUUAUACCUAUUAUUAUAAUUUCAUUUAAAUUUUUUAACAUUUUAUUUUAUUAGUUAUUAUACCAUUAUUUUUAUUAUAAAUAUACUCUGUAAUAAAUUUUAAAUAAAUGUCAU